rnacentral:rRNA from 1 species
AUUCGCCCUUAGAGUUUGAUCCUGGCUCAGGACGAACGCUGGCGGCGUGCCUAAUACAUGCAAGUCGAACGAAGCUUUCUUUCACCGAAUGCUUGCAUUCACCGAAAGAAGCUUAGUGGCGAACGGGUGAGUAACACGUAGGUAACCUGCCCGAAAGAGGGGGAUAACACUUGGAAACAGGUGCUAAUACCGCAUAACCAUGAACACCGCAUGAUGUUCAUGUAAAAGACGGCUUUUGCUGUCACUUUUGGAUGGGCCUGCGGCGUAUUAACUUGUUGGUGGGGUAACGGCCUACCAAGGUGAUGAUACGUAGCCGAACUGAGAGGUUGAUCGGCCACAUUGGGACUGAGACACGGCCCAAACUCUUACGGGAGGCAGCAGUAGGGAAUCUUCCACAAUGGACGAAAGUCUGAUGGAGCAACGCCGCGUGAAUGAAGAAGGCCUUCGGGUCGUAAAAUUCUGUUGUCAGAGAAGAACGUGCGUGAGAGUAACUGUUCACGUAUUGACGGUAUCUGACCAGAAAGCCACGGCUAACUACGUGCCAGCAGCCGCGGUAAUACGUAGGUGGCAAGCGUUGUCCGGAUUUAUUGGGCGUAAAGGGAACGCAGGCGGUCUUUUAAGUCUGAUGUGAAAGCCUUCGGCUUAACCGAAGUAGUGCAUUGGAAACUGGAAGACUUGAGUGCAGAAGAGGAGAGUGGAACUCCAUGUGUAGCGGUGAAAUGCGUAGAUAUAUGGAAGAACACCAGUGGCGAAAGCGGCUCUCUGGUCUGUAACUGACGCUGAGGUUCGAAAGCGUGGGUAGCAAACAGGAUUAGAUACCCUGGUAGUCCACGCCGUAAAUGAUGAGUGCUAAGUGUUGGAGGGUUUCCACCCUUCAGU